CUUGCAUCUCGCCGCUCCAGCCUCCGGGGCCACGUUCCAUUCUUUCAGCCCGCGACCAGCCCAGAAAAAAAAAAAAUCCUUAUUAAUAUAUUUUCUUGCUCGGUACAUACCUUGAAGCGAGCAAAAAUUUGUUGCAGUCAACCGUAACCAUGAGGGAAAUCGUGCACAUCCAGGCCGGCCAGUGUGGCAACCAGAUCGAUGCCAAGUUCUGGGAGGUGAUCAGCGAUGAGCACGGCAUCGACCCCACCGGUACCUACCACGGGGACAGCGACCUGCAGCUGGAUCGCAUCUCGGUGUACUACAACGAAGCCACAGGCGCCAAGUAUGUUCCUCGAGCUAUCCUGGUGGAUCUAGAACCUGGGACCAUGGACUCUGUUCGCUCAGGUCCUUUUGGCCAGAUCUUCAGACCAGACAACUUUGUUUUUGGUCAGUCCGGGGCAGGUAACAACUGGGCCAAGGGCCACUACACAGAGGGGGCGGAGCUGGUCGACUCUGUCCUGGAUGUGGUACGGAAGGAGGCCAAGAGCUGUGACUGCCUGCAGGGCUUCCAGCUGACCCACUCGCUGGGUGGAGGCACUGGGUCUGGAAUGGGCACCCUGCUCAUCAGCAAGAUCUGAGAAGAGUACCCUGACCGCAUCGUGAACACCUUCAGCCUGGUGCCCUCACCCAAAGUGACCGACACAGUGGUGGAGCCCUAUAAUGCCACCCUCUCCGUCCAUCAGCUGGUAGAGAACACUGAUGAGACCUACUGCAUUGACAACUCAGCCACUAUGAGCGGCGUCACCACCUGCCUGUGCUUCCCUGGCCAGCUCAAUGCUGACCUCCGCAAGCUGGCAGUUAACAUGGUGCCCUUCCCACGGCUCCACUUCUUCAUGCCUGGCUUUGCUCCUCUCACCAGCUGUGGAAGCCAGCAGUAUCGGGCCCUCACCGUGCCUGAACUCACCCAGCAGGUCUUCGAUGCCAAAAACAUGAUGGCUGCCUGUGACCCCUUUGCCCCCAUGCCAUGGCCGGUACCUCACCGUGGCCGCUGUCUUCCGUGGGCGCAUGUCCAUGAAGGAGGUGGACGAGCAGAUGCUGAAUGUGCAAAAUAAGAACAGCAGCUACUUCGUGGAAUGGAUCCCCAACAACGUCAAGACCGCUGUCUGUGACAUCCCUCCACGUGGCCUCAAGAUGGCUGUCACCUUCAUUGGCAACAGCACAGCCAUCCAGGAGCUCUUCAAGCGCAUCUCCGAGCAGUUUACAGCCAUGUUCCGCCGGAAGGCUUUCCUCCACUGGUACACAGGUGAGGGUAUGGACGAGAUGGAGUUCACUGAAGCCGAGAGCAACAUGAACGACCUCGUCUCCGAGUACCAGCAGUACCAGGAUGCCACUGCAGAAGAGGAAGAGGAUUUCGGUGAGGAGGCAGAAGAGGAGGCCUAAAGGCAGAGCCCUGCGUCACCUCAGGCUUCCCAGUUCCCUCAGCUUUCUUCGCCUGCCCCUUUCCUCCUUCAGAAUUUAUUUCUACUGCCUCUGUCCUGGUUUUUUGUUUUGGGGGAUGAAUAGUGCCUGGCACAUAGUAGGCGCUCAAUAAAUAUUUGUUUGUGGAA